UAAUACCGGCGCCUCAAGUGGUAGUCGCUUUUAUUGGGCCUAAAACGCCCGUAGCCGGUUUGGUACAUUCGUGGGUAAAUCAAGACGCUCAACGUCUUGAAUUCUGCGAGCACGGCCAGACUUGGGACCGGGUGAGGUGUGGGGUACUCUCAGGGUAGGGGUAAAAUCCUGUCAUCCUGAGAGGACCACCUGUUGCGAAGGCGCCACACUAGAACGGAUCCGACGGUCAGGGACGAAGCCUAGGGGCACGAACCGGAUUAGAUACCCGGGUAGUCCUAGGUGUAAACGCUGUGGACUUGAUGUUGGGAGUGCUCCGAGCGCCCUCAGUGUCGAAGCGAAGGUGAUAAGUCCACUGCCUGGGGAGUACGGUCGCAAGGCUG
rnacentral:rRNA from 1 species